rnacentral:rRNA from 1 species
UACGAAGGGGGCUAGCGUUGCUCGGAAUCACUGGGCGUAAAGGGUGCGUAGGCGGGUCUUUAAGUCAGGGGUGAAAUCCUGGAGCUCAACUCCAGAACUGCCUUUGAUACUGAGGAGCUUGGGUCCGGGAGAGGUGAGUGGAACUGCGAGUGUAGAGGUGAAAUUCGUAGAUAUUCGCAAGAACACCAGUGGCGAAGGCGGCUCACUGGCCCGGUACUGACGCUGAGGCACGAAAGCGUGGGGAGCAAACAGG